GGAUCCAGACUUUGAUUCUGGCUCAGGAUGAACGCUAGCUACAGGCUUAACACAUGCAAGUCGAGGGGAAACGACAUCGAAAGCUUGCUUUUGAUGGGUGUCGACCGGCGCACGGGUGAGUAACGCGUAUCCAACCUGCCCAUCACUUGGGGAUAACCUUGCGAAAGUAAGACUAAUACCCAAUGAUAUCUCAAGAAGACAUCUGAAUGAGAUUAAAAAUUUAUCGGUGAUGGAUGGGGAUGCGUCUGAUUAGCUUGUUGGCGGGGUAACGGCCCACCAAGGCGACGAUCAGUAGGGGUUCUGAGAGGAAGGUCCCCCACAUUGGAACUGAGACACGGUCCAAACUCCUACGGGAGGCAGCAGUGAGGAAUAUUGGUCAAUGGGCGAGAGCCUGAACCAGCCAAGUAGCGUGCAGGAUGACGGCCCUAUGGGUUGUAAACUGCUUUUAUAAGGGAAUAAAGUGAGUCUCGUGAGACUUUUUGCAUGUACCUUAUGAAUAAGGACCGGCUAAUUCCGUGCCAGCAGCCGCGGUAAUACGGAAGGUCCGGGCGUUAUCCGGAUUUAUUG
rnacentral:rRNA from 1 species